GCAGGGCGGGAGGGGGUGGCGGGGAAAGCACGUGAGGGCAGCGGGGCCGGAACCGGGCCUCCUCCCUUCUUUGGAGGCCUGACCGGAGAGGAGGAUGCAGGGACAGGCCAGGCCCAGCCAGUGGGAAAGGGGUAGCAGAGCCAGUGCACACUCCUCGGCUGGGCCCCCGGAAGCCCAGCUGGGAACAGAUGGAGUUCCAGACACAGCUGUGUCCAGCUAGCAGGACGCCAGAUCUGAAAAGUGGAUGGGCCUGGACUGUCAAACUUGGAGGGUGCAGAGACCCACCGAGAGCCUCGGCCAGCCAGACCAGCAUCUGGGAACCAGAAGUCCUAGCUGGCAGACUGUCUGGACUCCCGGCUUCCUACCCUGUUGUGUGACUUUUGAAGAUAAACUACAAAGGAGUCACAGCCAGCUGGCACCCCCUUCCCUGAGUCAGCCCAGCCCACACCCACCUCAGUGGACACGGGUCACCUACGAGAUUCUCCAGAGCGUGCAGCGGCCCCUGCUCCCCUGUCCUCAGAGAAGGCAGUGGUGCAUAGACCAGGCCUAGGACCCGCACUCUGCCGGAGAACAUCCAAGGCUGCCUGGGAAGGGAGGAAGUGUCAGAAAGGCACGCGCUGCUCAGGUCAAGAAAAUGGGGUCUGGGACUGGACACACCACUGAGCUCUUAAAUGCAGAAAGAAUACUUCCAGCACCCCAAAAUGUUCCUGCACGCCCUUUCCAGGCAAAGCUCCCUGCAUCACAGGUAAGCACCAUCUCAGAUCCUUUUAGCUCCAGCAGUCUGAACUAUAUUCUUUCUGCUGCUAGCAUGAGCUGUCACUUCAGCUUUCAAGGACUCUCUGCGUCCUAUGGAAAGAGCCCUAAGAUCUGGACUUUAAUCUUGGCCCCGUCACUUCACCUCUCUGGGUCUCUUUUUUUGUGCCAAAUCAACUGCUGCUUUGCUUGCGGCUCUGAUCUGUUCUCCACCCUUCCCCUGCUCUGUUCUGUUCCCUAUUGGGAACUACAUUUCCCAGAGUGCUUUUCCCUCUGGCUUCCCUGUAGGCUCAGCCAGUGGGAAGACAGGUGGGUGGAGGACAAUUUGGUGGGAAGAGGGAAGAAGCCAGGCGAUUCCUCUGCUUCUCUGCUUUCUGACAAGGCGCGCAGCUGGUUGUGUUGCUUCCUUCCAUCCUUCCACUAUCCCAUCCCCUGCCAGGCAGCCCCCACUAUUUAGUUCCUGCCAAAUAGCUCUGGAGGCUUCUGGGUCUGUAAGGCUUCUGUAUAAGUUUGUCUUUCCAGCCCUAGAGAGGUAGCUGCUUCCUGCUUUGCUAUUUUCUGGGUUGCCUUGCUGUCCCCCACUGGCUUCUCAGCACUUCCAUCAACCAUGUACCAAUUCUCUGUGUUAAGUUUCUUCCAUUUGAAAGACAUAGAGUGUUUCCUCUUUCUGGACACUGAUGGACAAAUCUCACCCAUGAAUGGUGAUUAUGCCUGCCCUGCCUUCUCCGGGAGGGUGAGGGGAGCCUCACAAGGUGAGGCGUCCAUGAACUCUUCACGGGCAGACAUCGUCUCUGCUUCUUCCCUUUCGUGUUCUUCAUCGGCUUCCUUGAGGUUUUGCUGAUUUCCGUGGGGCAACACCAGACCCCGACUGAGUGCCCCAUAGACCCCCAGAGUGUGUGGGAGUGAGGCUUUUCUCCAGGCCCUCUCCAGAGGGGGUUGCUGGGAGAUCCUUCUUCCCAGAGGCCCAUGGGAAUCCAAAAGGAGGGUUUAUGGGAAUGGAUUCUUUUUUUUUUUUUUUUUGAUUUUUAUUAGAGUAUAGUUGAUAUACAAUGUUGUGUUAGUUUCUGCUGUAUAGCAAAGUGAAUCAGUUGUACAUAUACAUAGAUCCACUCUUUUUUAGAAUUUUUUCGCAUAUAGGUCAUUACAGAGUAUUGAGUAGAGUUCCCUGUGCUAGCCAGUAGAUCCUUAUUAGUUAGCUAUUUUAUAUAGAGUAGUGUGUGUAUGUCAGUCCCAGUCUUCCAUUUUAUCUCUCCCCCUCCUUUCCCCCUGUGGAUUCUUCUAAAUAAUCUUCUUUCUCCCCUCUUCCCCAUACUGCUCUCAACCAGCUGCUGUCCUUGAAUAGGGUCUGGUAAACACUGAGAAAUGUGUAAUCGAUGAGGGUUGUCCUUCUCCAGAAUAUUUUCACUGGGGACAAUCCCUCAGCCCAACUGGGUGAUUUUCUCAUCUGGGGUGAUUUUGCCCCCUAGAAGACAUUUGGCAAUAUUUGGAGGAGUUUUUGAUUGUCACAAUUCAGGGGGUACUAUUGGCAUCUAGUCAGUCGGUAGAGGCCAGGGAUGCUGUUAAACGUCGUACAGUGCACAGGACACGGCUGCAACGAAGAAUUAUCCAAGUGUCAGUAGUGCCAAGGUUGAGAAAUUCAGCCUUAAUCCAAAGGAAUAAACCUCAAAUGGUGAACUUCUAGGCAUCGUGCCAGGUGAUUGGACCAAGAGUGGCAGGGAGGGAUUUUCUGGAACAUCAUUUUCGAUGAAAGAGAAAUUCAUACUACAUAAGCGCAGGUAAAAGGACACUAUUUUCCACAGUGGGCAGCCCAGUGUGGAGAGGCUAAUUAGCUCUAAGCAGUAAGAAUAAAAAUUUACAAUUACUUGAGUGACUCCUUUUCACCCUAGAAAGGAUAGAGACUGAAAUGAAAAGGGGAAGGAAAUUUAGAUAAAUUAACAAAACACAAAUUAAUGGGUACUCAGAGGAAAUUAGGAUGUUGGAUGUUUUGAGGAUAUCUUCAUUUUUUUUUUAAUUUUUAAGAAAUUCAUGGGACUUCCCUGGUGGCGCAGUGGUUCAGAAUCCGGCUGCCAUUGCAGGGGACAUGGAUUUGAUCCCUAGUCUGGGAAGAUCGCCCACACCGCGGAGCAACUAAGGCCGUGCGCCGCAACUACUGAGCCUGCACUCUGGAGUUCGCGAGCCACAACUACUGAAGCCCACGGGCCUAGAGCCCGUGCUCCACGGCAGGAGAAGCCACCGCAAUGAGAAGUCCGCACACCGCAAGGAAGAGUAGCUCCCGCUCGCCGCAACUAGAGAAAGCCCGCGUGCAGCAACGAAGAUCCAAUGCAGCCAAAAAUCAGUUCUGUAUUUCUCUACUUAUAAUGGUGACUUACGACUAUUUCUAGAUAAUGAAACAAAUCUUUUUGUCCUGCCCAAGUGACUCCAAAUUUACUCCUUUUUUAGUAGCUUAAUAGCUUUAUCCUUUGCAUUUGAAGGUAAACUUCAAAAGGGGUAAGAGCAAUCUUUAGAAUUUAAUUUGUAUCUAUGUUAUACCUAGUAUAGUGCUUCAGACAAUAAACUGAUU